GGCCGAGCUCCCGAGGCUUUUUCAGCACCCCUGAAGUCCCCGGUGCAAUGUGUAGUUUGUUCCAGGCAGAGAGAUGCUGCCUGUGAACAGGAGGAGAGUGAAUUCUGCUCCAUUCGUGCAGUUGCAAAUGAGCCCCAGCAGGGACCAGCAGCCGCGGUUCCACACCUGCCUGGGGCCCAAGAAGCCUCUUGGCAUCAGCAGGGGGAUGCCACUUGUGAGUGUGCAGUGAGUGCAGAUGUGGAGAAUGGAUUCUGCACAGUGAUGGGAGUGUGAGGGAGCCUCUGGCUCCCCAGGGCACAUCAGGAACCAAGAAUGAACACAAAAGGAACCGCAGAAGAUUCCUGGGUGAAUGGAUCAGGGGCCAUCCCGUGGGCACGGCGGUGCUGAUUCUGCUGCUCCUGGUGCUGGUGCUGGCUUUGGGGGUGGCCUUGGCUGUGCUGGCAGCGCCACAGGUUCCAGUCACAGCUGCGACUCCGCUGUCACUUCUGGGCUGUCCCCAUGGCUGGGUUGGCUACAAUGGGGUCUGCUACUACUUCUCAAAGGAUUACGGCACCUGGGAGCAGGGUCAGGAACGGUGCUCCGAGCUCGGGGCCUCCCUGGCCAUUGCCAAGGAUGAGGAGGCCAUGGAUUUGCUCUUCCGCCUCCGUGGGAACGUUGAUUUCUGGCUCGGGCUGUGCAGACGGGGCGAGCGCCUGCACUGGGGGGACGGCAGCAGCUACAGCUCCCGGGUUCCUGUCCUCGGCAAUUCCCAGUGUGUGUACCUGGCCGACGGGAAAAGGUUCAGGAGUGAGAUGUGCUCAAGUAAGCGGCCGUAUCUCUGCAGCAAGGCCCCAGCUCCCCUGUAACAGGGGCUGCAGAAAGGACCUUCUCCACACUGGGCAGUGCCAGCUUCACCUCUGAGCCCAGCACAGCGCUGUCCUUCCUCAGCUGCACCCUGUGCCUUGCCCUUCCUCUCAGGGUCACCUCAGUGCCUCUUCAUGCCCAGUGCCAACACUGGGCUGGGGCUGCAAAGGAAAAGUCUCUGCAAUCCAUCCUGCCACUGAUGCUGCCUGCAGUGAGUGCAUUGCCCUCAUGUGUGAGAAACAUGGAUUUCUAUUUAAAAUUUUUAUGUAAGUUUAUUAAGAGAUAAAAUCCCACAUUUGGGUGCUUGUGUCUUUGCACACAGUUAACUUAAAUGAUUUUUUUUAUAUACUGUUACAUUAUAGGCCUAUAUGCAUAUUCAUUAUAGUUUAUACAUAUCGAAACAUUCAUUUGAGUUAACAUGUUCUUUUGCUUGGUUUAAACCUUUGACUUGUCUUCCUGCCAUCUUCUCAUUUAAAUGAAUAUAUUUUAUUUUUUCUUUUGGUUCUGUCUUAUAUUUUCACUCCCUGAUAACGACGGUCAAUAAAUGUUUUUGUUCGGUUC